CCCACAUGGAUUGCAGGGACCUAAGCACUUGGGUGCAUAUUCGUAGAAAGCUGGAUUAGAAGUGGAGUAACUAGGACUCAAAACAGGUACUCCAAUAGCAGAUGCAAGCAUGACUAACCAUGAUUUAACCAUUAUACCACCUGCUGGUCCCUUAACUAUGGCUUAAGUGUACACAUUCAUUUCCUCUUUUUCUCUCUUCUAGUGUCUCUAAGUAUAUCACCAUUUACUUCUGAACAUGGUGGAAAUAUUCAGCCAUGUGUAAUAGACUCUGCUAUUCAUUUUAUUGUAGCCUGAAAUUCUAGAGAAUUCUUCUAGACCAUUAUUUAACAUCAUUGUAAUAUAAGGACUCAUCCAAAGAGGAAUGGAGUGCUGAAGGAACAUAAGGAUGCUCCAAGGACCAAAUAGGCAAGGACGAUUUCUAAGAUUUAUCUCAUUUUUUAACAUUUUGAAGAUACAGCAAAGGGAAGAUGAGACACAAGACACUGACUUCAUUUCUUCGUUUGGCAAAUUGCUCUCUUCCUGCUCUGUUCCAGGUACUGUGUUUGGGGCUGAGGACACAAAGGUACAAGGACACAUACUCCCUGCACUUGGAGACCCCAAGUCCUAGUGGAGGAUCAUGCUGCAAGGAGUCAGCUGAGGAAUUCUCCAUGCUCUAGGAGUUUCGGUGACUGUUUGGUCUUACCAGUCUAGAACACUACUUUACUGGUCCAUAUAUGGACUCCCUUUCCUGGCCGACAACUGAAGGUUCCCCAAGGCAGUGGAAACUUAAGAAAAGUUUUCAUCAGCAGAGUGAAUGAGAAGAAUGGACCUGGGGCUAGAGACCCCAAGCCUUGCGGUGGGGAUCCAGACUGCUUGGGACACAGAC